rnacentral:rRNA from 1 species
AACGAACGCUGGCGGCAUGCCUAACACAUGCAAGUCGAACGAGACCUUCGGGUCUAGUGGCGCACGGGUGCGUAACGCGUGGGAACCUGCCCUUAGGUUCGGAAUAACUCCCCGAAAGGGGUGCUAAUACCGGAUAAUGUCUUCGGACCAAAGAUUUAUCGCCUUUGGAUGGGCCCGCGUUGGAUUAGCCAGUUGGUAGGGUAAAAGCCUACCAAGGCGACGAUCCAUAGCUGGUCUGAGAGGAUGAUCAGCCACACUGGGACUGAGACACGGCUCAGACUCCUACGGGAGGCAGCAGUGGGGAAUAUUGGACAAUGGGCGAAAGCCUGAUCCAGCAAUGCCGCGUGAGUGAUGAAGGCCUUAGGGUUGUAAAGCUCUUUUACCCGGGAUGAUAAUGACAGUACCGGGAGAAUAAGCUCCGGCUAACUCCGUG